rnacentral:rRNA from 1 species
UACAGAGGUGGCGAGCGUUGUUCGGAUUUACUGGGCGUAAAGGGUGCGUAGGUGGUCGCUCGUGUCGGGUGUGAAAGCCCACGGCUUAACCGUGGAACGGCAUUCGAAACUGGGCGACUUGAGUGCAGGAGGGGAGAGCGGAAUUCUUGGUGUAGCGGUGAAAUGCGUUGAUAUCAAGAAGAACACCGGUGGCGAAGGCGGCUCUCUGGAAUGCUACUGACACUGAGGCACGAAAGCUGGGGGAGCAAACAGG